UACGAAGGGGGCUAGCGUUGCUCGGAAUCACUGGGCGUAAAGGGUGCGUAGGCGGGUCUUUUAAGUCAGGGGUGAAAUCCUGGAGCUCAACUCCAGAACUGCCUUUGAUACUGAAGAUCUUGAGUUCGGGAGAGGUGAGUGGAACUGCGAGUGUAGAGGUGAAAAUUCGUAGAUAUUCGCAAGAACACCAGUGGCGAAGGCGGCUCACUGGCCCGAUACUGACGCUGAGGCACGAAAGCG
rnacentral:rRNA from 1 species